rnacentral:lncRNA from 1 species
AGGCAGGCCAGGUAACGGCCUCUGCCCCCGCCCCUCCCUCCCCGCUCGGACUUCCCUUACCCGCACACUGGCUCCAGGCAGCGCCCGGGCGGCGGAGGCGGCUGCGGAGACGGCGGGGUGCGGGCUGAGGGAGCCGGGCCUGGACGCCCCCCCCAUCACCCCCGUACCCCAGGAGCUGUGCCUAGUCCAGGAGAGGCUGGGGGGCGCCCCAUGGAGCCCAAAGUCGCGUUCCCCGGAGGUGCGAAUCGCUGUUGGAACCUCGGCGCCGACGCCGGCAGCAGGUUAACCGACGUCUUCGGCAGCGUGAUGUUGACUGGCUCCGCUUCCUUCUACGAUUGCUACACAUCGCAGAGUGAAGACAAUGUAGACCUAAGGCAGACCUAUACUCCAUUUUCUUCAACAGAAUAUUCAAGUUCUGUAGAUUC